rnacentral:sRNA from 1 species
GGUUGUGUCGGUUUGAUCGGGAUACUCAUCAAAUAAUAUCGAAAACCGAGGAUGUUCCUUUUGUUAAUGGCGGGCCACAUAAACUCGUAAGAGGUAAGUCGCAAGACCGGUGGAUUACAAAGACGGAGGACUCUCAAUCAUUGAUUUCUCGGAGUUUCAUCACAUCAUCGGGCAACCCCUUUU